GUCAGAAUAGCGUAAUGGUUUGAGCAUUGUACUAACAACCCUGGAGUCCAGGGUUCGAAUCUCUGCUCGGUCA